rnacentral:rRNA from 1 species
UCGCCUGUUUAACAAAAACAUGUCUUUGUGAAGAUUUACACAGUCUGGCCUGCCCACUGAAUUAUUAAAGGGCCGCGGUAUCUCUGACCGUGCGAAGGUAGCAUAAUCAUUAGUCUUUUAAUUGGAGGCUUGUAUGAAGGGUCGAACGAGUGAUAAACUGUCUUAACAAAAAAUAUUGAAAUUAACUUUAAAGUGAAAAGGCUUUAAUGUCUUAGAAAGACGAUAAGACCCUAUAAAUCUUUACACUACAUUUAGUAUUAAGCCAAUUUAUUUGUUUAAGGAAAAAUACUAAAAAAGCGUUUUGUUGGGGC